rnacentral:rRNA from 1 species
AUUGAACGCUGGCGGCAGGCCUAACACAUGCAAGUCGAGCGGCAGCGGGACCUUCGGGUUGCCGGCGAGCGGCGGACGGGUGAGUAAUGCCUAGGAAUCUGCCUGUUAGUGGGGGAUAACGCGGGGAAACUCGCGCUAAUACCGCAUACGUCCUACGGGAGAAAGCGGGGGCUCUUCGGACCUCGCGCUAACAGAUGAGCCUAGGUCGGAUUAGCUAGUUGGUGGGGUAAUGGCCCACCAAGGCGACGAUCCGUAACUGGUCUGAGAGGAUGAUCAGUCACACUGGGACUGAGACACGGUCCAGACUCCUACGGGAGGCAGCAGUGGGGAAGAUUGGACAAUGGGCGAAAGCCUGAUCCAGCCAUGCCGCGUGUGUGAAGAAGGUCUUCGGAUUGUAAAGCACUUUAAGUCGGGAGGAAGGGCUGUAGACUAAUACCUUGCAGUUUUGACGUUACCGACAGAAUAAGCACCGGCUAACUUCGUGCCAGCCGCCGCGGUAA